rnacentral:rRNA from 1 species
UAGGGAAUCUUCCACAAUGGACGAAAGUCUGAUGGAGCAACGCCGCGUGAGUGAAGAAGGUUUUCGGAUCGUAAAGCUCUGUUGUUGGUGAAGAAGGAUAGAGGCAGUAACUGGUCUUUAUUUGACGGUAAUCAACCAGAAAGUCACGGCUAACUACGUGCCAGCAGCCGCGGUAAUACGUAGGUGGCAAGCGUUGUCCGGAUUUAUUGGGCGUAAAGCGAGCGCAGGCGGAAUGAUAAGUCUGAUGUGAAAGCCCACGGCUCAACUGUGGAACUGCAUCGGAAACUGUCAUUCUUGAGUGCAGAAGAGGAGAGUGGAACUCCAUGUGUAGCGGUGGAAUGCGUAGAUAUAUGGAAGAACACCAGUGGCGAAGGCGGCUCUCUGGUCUGCAACUGACGCUGAGGCUCGAAAGCAUGGGUAGCGAACAGGAUUAGAUACCCUGGUAGUCCAUGCCGUAAACGAUGAGCGCUAGGUGUUGGGGACUUUCCGGUCCUCAGUGCCGCAGCAAACGCAUUAAGCGCUCCGCCUGGGG